GAAGGUAUAGCUCAAGUGGUAGAGCACAUACUUAGCAUACGCAAGGUCCUGGGUUCAAUUCCCGAUACCUCCU
rnacentral:tRNA from 1 species